ACCUCCUCAAGAGCUGUAUGCUGAGCCGGGGGAUGCUGUGGCAGGGCUACAAGAGGACAGAAGAGUCAGCGUGGUUCUUGCCAUCCCAGGAAACGAAGUUCCAGGUAUCCAGAUGCCCACUCUUCACUCUGAAAGAUAUGUGUCUGACACUGUCCCCUUUAAGUCCAGAAUGAAACUCAUCUGUCAGUGGACUCUGUGGACCGGGACCAGCAGAGGAAGUAAUGGAGAGGAGGCGCUGUGUUGGGAACUGGUUAUCCUAAGAUGAAGACAGAAGGGUGUCUACCCCUGGGAGCCCUCAUGCUGAUCACACACUGUCUCCAACUUCUUUUAGUAGAAAUUCCAGCUUCUUAAUCUAUUAAACACGGCUAUUGGCUCUGCUAUAGACUGAAAGUGGCCUGCCCUCUCUGACA